rnacentral:rRNA from 1 species
AUUGAACGCUGGCGGCAGGCCUAACACAUGCAAGUCGAACGGUAACAGGAAGCAGCUUGCUGCUUCGCUGACGAGUGGCGGACGGGUGAGUAAUGUCUGGCAAACUUCCUGAUGGAGGGGGAUAACUACUGGAAACGGUAGCUAAUACCGCAUAACGUCGCAAGACCAAAGAGGGGGACCUUAGGGCCUCUUGCCAUCGGCUGUGCCCAGAUGGGAUUAGCUAGUAGGUGGGGUAACGGCUCACCUAGGCGACGAUCCCUAGCUGGUCUGAGAGGAUGACCAGCGACACGGGAAGGGAGAAACGGUCCAGACACCUACGGGAGGCAGCAGUGGGGAAUAUUGCACAAUGGGCGAAAGCAUGAUGCAGCAAUGCCGCGUGUAUGAAGAAGGCCUUCGGGUUGUAAAGUACUUUCAGCGGGGAGGAAGGGAGUAAAGUUAAUACCUUUGCUCAUUGACGUUACCCGCAGAAGAAGCACCGGCUAACUCCGUG